rnacentral:lncRNA from 1 species
CGGCCCGGAAGAGAGGAGGGGCGAUGACCCGGGAAAGGGUUGGCGCCGCGCGGGACCGGCUCGCGCGCCUUAGGGGGCGGGGGCGGAGGAGCCGGGGGGGGCGGGGCUUCGCCUAGAGCCGGACCCUGAGACCCGAGCCGCGCGACGCGCUGACAGACCCUCUGGUCCGACGGCGAGGCUCGCAGCACCUCAUGCUUCCAUCCUGCGUUGAGAUCACGGCAGGACCACAUAAUGACUUUCAGGAGACCUAGGGAUUUUUGCCUUGAUGGGCCCCUUUCUCCACUAAAAAAAGGAAGAAAAAUUACAAUUGCACUUAUAAAAGAGGCUUUUCUAUUGCUCGGCCAAAACUCUUUCUCUAAAGAGCUAGACUCGACAAUAGGACCACCUGGAUACAGCCAAGGAGAAGACAGAUCCAUGAUGUGGGAGUUUUUUUGUUUUUUGUUUUUCACAAAAGAAACUUCCAGAUAAAUGCAGAAGAAUCUCCUAACCACUGAAAAGACAAACAGAAUUACAUGGUGGAAUUCCUCCACACGUGGUGAAUACAUUCUCCCCAGUGCCUUGGAACCUAAUCGUCACAUGAUAAUGGUCUCAUAGAAAGUAUGUUGAACAACUGACUUGGGGGUGAUUUGGGGAAAAUUGUAAUUGCCUGGACUUCUGGCACUAUUCAUAUUCCUAUACUAUUUAUAUUCACUUAGUAUCAAAAUAAAUGGUGAUUUUAAGAAAUAUAGCA